rnacentral:lncRNA from 1 species
ACGAUAUUUGUCACUAAUUUUACACUCAGUUUACAAAUUAGUUGUUUAUAAAUCUUAAAAUUAUUGAUAUUUUAAAUAAAAUAAAAAACAUUAGCAAAGUGAAUCAUUUAACUGCUUAAACUUAACAUUAGGAAAAUUAAAUGAUAAAAGUUAUGUAAACAAGUGAACAACUGGACAAAUGAAGUAAACAUAAAUUAGAGCAGGGGGACAGAACAUUAUAGAAUAAGUUGUAUUGAUUAGGAGGCCAAAAUCAUAAAAUUAGUAGUCUAAAUUUAACAAGAUGUUUUGGAUCAAAAUUUUUUGAAAUUUUUUUACAUUUGUGAAGCCUUAUGGGCUGUUAGGCACAGGGAGUUUGGUCCUUAAAUGCCUGAACAGGAUUUCUGACAUAAAUUAACACUAACAAUAUAUGUUUAAUGAGAGAGAUUCCCAUGCAUUAUUUUGCAUAUUAACAAUUAAACAUAUCUGCGGGAAAGAUAAAUACCUUAUAGUGGGUUAACAAUUGAUGGUUUGUCAACAUCUUUAAUUCACUUCUUUGAUGCAGACAUGUAGGGUGAAAUGAGGAACAAUGACAGUGUUAUAACUUCAGGAGUAGGUGAAGAUAUUUCAUGGAAGACAGGUGGAGAACUCGAUUGGAGGUACAACAGAAAAACGUCGGUGGAUGAACAAGGAGGAAUAUUUAGUGCUGAAGGACAGAUGAAUUUGGAUGAAGAUGACUUUGAUGGACAGAUGAGCAAGGAAAAAUACUCCAAUCUUUUCUUCAGGGAGUCUUUAUAUUGUUGACUGUAUCCUCCCCUGUCGGUCCAAAGACGGGCGAUCUGGGCCUCAUUGUGACUAGUCUUGGCCUGGAUUUCUCCCUUGGAUCUUAUCUAUCUUUGAUAACCUGGAUUACAAAUUUAUAAUUGACAUUCAAAUAAAAGUUGUUUUCGUUUUAGUUUCUGGUGCCAGUCCUCUUAUCUCUGUUUUAUGAUAACUAUAGUUAUUCUUGCU